AUAGACGAGAUGACUAUAGCCAUAAAACCUUAAAUAUGCUGGCUGACGCUGUGCACGGGAUACAAAGUGGUACUGGCUUUCUGGGAUCGGAAGGAAAAGGGAAUUAUGAGAAAACUUGGGUGAUGUUUAGUUUCUGACUUAAGCACUCACUGGAAGAUACUAAAAGAUUAAUGUGAUUAAGUCAUCAGAAUUAUAGAGAGAGAAAGAAAAUACAUGAAGCAAAAGGGAUAAAAAG
rnacentral:lncRNA from 1 species